AUUUAAAUAGUUUAAGGUAAAAUAUGAAUUUGUGGUGUUCAUGAUAUAGAAAUAUUUUAAAUA
rnacentral:tRNA from 1 species